GUUUCAGAAUGAGUGCACAAGAUAAAUCUCAGUCACAAGGAAGGAUACCUGAGACCGACAAACAUUACUUUGGGUCACGAAAAAUUAACGGCAGUAAAGCCUGAAGAGACAAGGGAGCUCCUAGGUAAGGUGUCGAGAGACUUAAGAAUGGGAAUGAGGAAAGUUGUGAGAGAGCAAACAACAGGAGCCCUAGCUUUAUGGUGGCUGUGGAAGACAAAUCUCUGAAGCUAUGAAUCAGUCUGAUGAAAUGAUUGGACCCACAGAGGUGGAAUGGGAUCAAUAUCCAGGCGACUUGGUGACCACACUGUAAAAGCACUGCAUAGCUGGCAGAUUUCCAGCCUUCUUGUGUUGUUUCACAAAUUAUAUGUAUGUUACACUAAGAAAUAAUUCCUUAAUGCCUUUAGAACACACUGUACAUUGUUUUGUAUUUAUUUCCACAAUUCUGAACUCUCCACAUAAUUUGUUAAAUUUGAUUUUAUUGAGAUGAUAUGUGAUCAUCUGGAACCCUGUUACAGUAAAAUGGCUUUUAUAAGUACGUUCGAGAUGUAGCGAGUUUUUCACCCAUAAGUAUUCUGGGAUGUUGACUUGCUCAUAAUAAAAUUUCUAUUAAUUCUUGAGUACAGUAAUGACUUUUUAAUUACCUAUUCUCUAGGCUUACUUUAUUACAAUAAUGGAGAAAGAGCAAUUAAUGAUGUACAUAAAAGGGAUGAAUGCAUUUAAAUUUCCCUAAAUUUGUCUUUUAAACCUGAUGGCUUUGAAUAUACAUAUAUGUCAAGAUUUUUAUUGUAUUACUAUACUGCAAUUCCUAUAUAGUUUAAGC